rnacentral:lncRNA from 1 species
UGGACACCCCAGCUUUGUGAUGUCCUGUUCUUUCACCAACCAAGUGAUUGCCCAGCUCGAGUUGUGGAAUGAGAGGAAGUCCGGCAAGUAUGAGAAGAAGGUGUAUGUUUUGCCAAAGCACCUUGAUGAGAAGGUCGCUGCCCUUCAUCUUGGCAAGCUUGGAGCUAAGCUCACCAAGCUCACCAAGGAACAGGCUGACUACAUCAGCGUGCCAGUUGAGGGUCCAUACAAGCCAGCUCACUACAGGUACUGAGAGGAGGAGAAGAUUGUCAAGGACAAGAGACAUGAGAAAAAAAUAUAUAUUUGGACGGGUUGUUUUUAAUUUGUUUAUUUUACAUUUUGAUGAACUGUGUUAGAAUUGUAGGUUAAAUUUUGUAGGAGUUUGUGGUGUGAUGGGGAAAAGGGUGGGAGGAAGGAAAUGGAUGAUUAGGUCUCAGAUGAAGACCUGGGGUUUGAAUAAGGAUGGAAUGGGGCUGUGUUUGGAUACAUCUUCUGCCGCAUCCGUUGUGCUGCAUUUGAUUAUCAUUUUACUACCAAAAAAGAGAUCCUAAAAAUGAACAAUUUACCUUCCAUUUGAUUUUUGGUUCAAUUUGUCUUCAGCUAUCAUAUUCGUAUCUAAAUGGCAGUUCAUAUUCAUAACAAUGGUUAAAUUUUA